rnacentral:rRNA from 1 species
CAGGGAUUGCCCUAGUAACGGCGAGUGAAGCGGCAACAGCUCAAAUUUGAAAUCUGGCUUCGGCCCGAGUUGUAAUUUGCAGAGGAUGUUUCUGGCGCGGUGCCUUCCGAGUUCCCUGGAACGGGACGCCACAGAGGGUGAGAGCCCCGUAUGGUUGGACACCAAGCCUGUGUGAAACUCCUUCGACGAGUCGAGUAGUUUGGGAAUGCUGCUCAAAAUGGGAGGUAAAUCUCUUCUAAAGCUAAAUACCGGCCAGAGACCGAUAGCGCACAAGUAGAGUGAUCGAAAGAUGAAAAGCACCUUGAAAAGGGGGUUAAACAGUACGUGAAAUUGUUGAAAGGGAAGCACUUGUGACCAGACUUGUGCCGGGCGGUUCAUCCGGGGUUCUCCCCGGUGCACUCCGCCCGGUAUAGGCCAGCAUCGGUUCUUUCUGGGGGAUAAGAACGGUGGGAACGUGGCCCUCCCUCGGGAGGGUGUUAUAGCCCGCCGUACGAUACCCUGGAGGGGACCGAGGUUCGCGUUCCGCAAGGAUGCUGGCGUAAUGGUCACCAGUGACCCGUCUU